GGCGGCGGUAGCACGCGGUGGCAUAGGCGGCGGCGCAUGGGCGGCAUAGGGUUGCGGCGCACGGCGGUGGAGGCACAAGGAUAUGGCAGCGCCAGGCCCCAACACCCCUCAGCACCCCACACGCUUAAAAGAAUAGAACAGUGGCAGCUGUUGGUUCAGCGGAAGAAGAAAAACAUCGGUUUGUUUGCUUUGCAUAUGGAUAAAAGGAGAUGCAAACAAAAUGGCUGAUUGUCCUCUGCCGCAAAGACACUCAAUGUGUUACUCUGCAAUUUGGAGUAUCUGAACAUGCAGAAGAAAAAUUGAACAGAUGGAUUUUGUGGCAACUGGAACGGUGGAAUUCAUGUUGCUCAAUGAUCAGGACUUCCUUUUUUUGUUUUGUUUUCCAAAGGCCUUGCGUAGUUAUUAGUUGGUUUGUAUUGAUGCUUGUAUGAAUACGGUUCCCAAGCACUUGCAUAGAAAAAGAUGUGGCAUAAUUACCAGUUUA